AUAUUGGUACUUAAUUGCAGCUUCCAGGACUGAGCGCCAAUCCAGAAGUCCUCAAGUCAGAAACCCCUAAGAAAAGAAAGACAGGUUUCCAAUGACAGACAAAAGAUUUCAAAAAAAGGUUUUGACACAACUUUUAGAAAUAAAAGAUGAACCGCGAAGAAUAGGGAAAAUUGUGGAACCAGAAACUGGGUUCCACAUGUCAACCUUGGGCACUGAAGAUGAGUUCGAGUACUUAGAGAGGCAGCUUGAAAGUGGGAAUACACGGGCAGCAAUGGUGACACAGUUGUGUAAAAUUGGAGGAAAAAACUUCAAAGACAGUACAAGAAGAAUGCUGGACAGUGUUUUCAAAAAUUCCCUGAUGUCUACAUUCAACAUGAAAGGAGGAGGUCCACUACAGAAGAAGUCCUUUUAAUCAACUGCCUUAUUCUCAGUCAUCUGAGACGCAGUGAUGACCAGCUUUCCAUCAGCUACGGAAUGUGAAAUAAAAAAUGCUAUUUCUAAUCAUUUCAAACAAGCACCAGGGAGGGCAGGGGGUGGGGGUUAUGGAUCUAAAGUAAACAGUUAAUUCUUAAAAAUUGUAAUAUCUUAAUUUGUUUUACAUAUUUUUCCAAUGUUUUAUUUGUUCAUUUUUAUGUUUAAAUGUUGUCCAAGUUGUUGUUGUCUAUAUAAUUGUUCAAAAUAAAUCCCUUUAUAUUCAA